AUUGAACGCUGGCGGCAUGCUUUACACAUGCAAGUCGAGCGGCAGCGCGGGGGAAACCCUGGCGGCGAGCGGCGAACGGGUGAGUAAUGCAUCGGAACGUAUCCUCGAGUGGGGGAUAACCCAGCGAAAGUUGGGCUAAUACCGCAUGAGCUCUGAGGAGGAAAGCGGGGGACCUGCGAGGGCCUCGCGCUGGAGGAGCGGCCGAUGUCCGAUUAGCUAGUUGGUGGGGUAAAGGCUUACCAAGGCGACGAUCGGUAGCUGGUCUGAGAGGAUGAUCAGCAACACUGGGACUGAGACACGGCCCAGACUCCUACGGGAGGCAGCAGUGGGGAAUUUUGGACAAUGGGGGCAACCCUGAUCCAGCCAUGCCGCGUGAGUGAAGAAGGCCUUCGGGUUGUAAAGCCCUUUCGGACGGAACGAAAUGGGCGGGACUAAUACUCCUGUCUGAUGACGGUACCGUAAGAAGAAGCACCGGCUAACUACGUG
rnacentral:rRNA from 1 species